UACAGAGGGGGCAAGCGUUGUUCGGAAUUACUGGGCGUAAAGGGCGCGUAGGCGGCCUUCUAAGUCGAACGUGAAAUCCCCGGGCUCAACCCGGGAACUGCGUCCGAUACUGGAAGGCUUGAAUCCGGGAGAGGGAUGCGGAAUUCCAGGUGUAGCGGUGAAAUGCGUAGAUAUCGUAAGGAAGACCAGUGGCGAAGGCGGGUCUCUGGGCCGGUACUGACACUGAGGAGCGAAAGCGUGGGUAGCAAACAGG
rnacentral:rRNA from 1 species